GACGAACGCUGGCGGCGUGCCUAAUACAUGCAAGUCGAACGCAGUGGGGACGGGUGAGUAACACGUUGGUAACCUCCCAUCAGAGGGGAUAACACUUGGAAACAGGUGCUAAACCGAUACUGAUGGAUGGACCCGCGGUGCAUUAGCUAGUUGGUGAGUUAACGGCUACCCAAGGCCACGAUGCAUAGCCGCGCGGAACGGGGGACCGGCCACACUUGGACUGUGCCAAGGCCCAGACUCCUAAGUGAGGCAGCAGUAGGGAAUCUUCGGCAAUGGACGAAAGUCUGACCGAGCAACGCCGCGUGAGUGAAGAAGGUUUUCGGAUCGUAAAACUCUGUUGUUAGAAAAGCGGUAUCUAACCAGAAAGCCACGGCUAACUACGUGCCAGCCGCCGCGGUAAUUC
rnacentral:rRNA from 1 species